AGUGCCUGUGUGGCGCGGCUUCGGCUCGGGGUUGGGAAGGGAGCGGCGCCACGUGCUCGCUGGUGCCGGAGGGGAUGUGCGCCCUCGCCCCCGACCAGCGGCCUACCCCGGGCCCGAAGGGUGACUGCCUGUCCCGCGGCGCCGGUUCCCGCCUCGGGGCGGUAACGAAGCUCUGGGGUCUCGGACUUCAGAGACCUCUCGCUUGGACGAAGGCAGAACUCAGGCAGCAGAAUCGGGGUUUUCCUAGAAAAUGAGAGCUCUCUGGCCCCUGGCGAUUGGAUGAAGGCCUGAAACCUUUCUUUCCUGCUUCUCACCCAUGAGCAUGUUCGGAGUGACCUCAUUUUCGGCGAUCCAGGUGAGUUUACUGGAAGAUGUGUGUGUGCUGGGUGAAAAUCUGCUGAGUUCGUUUCUGCCUGGUUCUAUGUGCCUGAAAUGUAAUUGUUUUGUUUUAGCACCUUCCAGGUUUGUUUCGUUUGAUUCUUAUCUACGUAGUUUUUGAAUACCGACCUGCUAAGGACCCUGUUUUGUAUGAAUAUAAAUAAAAGGAGUCAGAC